rnacentral:rRNA from 1 species
GACGAACGCUGGCGGCGUGCUUAACACAUGCAAGUCGAACGGAAAGGCCCUGCUUUUGUGGGGUGCUCGAGUGGCGAACGGGUGAGUAACACGUGAGUAACCUGCCCUUGACCUUGGGAUAACUUCAGGAAACUGGGGCUAAUACCGGAUAGGAGCUCCUGCUGCAUGGUGGGGGUUGGAAAGUUUCGGCGGUUGGGGAUGGACUCGCGGCUUAUCAGCUUGUUGGUGGGGUAGUGGCUUACCAAGGCUUUGACGGGUAGCCGGCCUGAGAGGGUGACCGGCCACAUUAGGACUGAGAUACGGCCCAGACUCCUACGGGAGGCAGCAGUGGGAAAUAUUGCACAAUGGGCGGAAGCCUGAUGCAGCAACGCCGCGUGCGGGAUGACGGCCUUCGGGUUGUAAACCGCUUUCGCCUGUGACGAAGCGUGAGUGACGGUAAUGGGUAAAGAAGCACCGGCUAACUACGUG